rnacentral:rRNA from 1 species
UACGUAGGGUGCGAGCGUUGUCCGGAAUUAUUGGGCGUAAAGAGCUCGUAGGCGGUCUGUUGCGUCGGCUGUGAAAACCCGAGGCUCAACCUCGGGCCUGCAGCCGAUACGGGCAGACUAGAGUUCGGCAGGGGAGACUGGAAUUCCUGGUGUAGCGGUGAAAUGCGUAGAUAUCGAGAGGAACACCUGCGGCGAAGGCGGGUUGCUGGGCUGACACUGACGCUGAGGCGCGAAAGCUAGGGGAGCGAACGGG